rnacentral:rRNA from 1 species
CGACUCUCGGCAACGGAUACCUCGGCUCACGCAUCGAUGAAGAACGUAGCAAAAUGCGAUACUUGGUGUGAAUUGCAGAAUCCCGUGAACCAUCGAGUUUUUGAACGCAAGUUGCGCCCGAAGCCAUUCGGUUGAGGGCACGUCUGCCUGGGCGUCACG